CGCACGCGAACACACACAUACACGCACCUCCUCUCCUCCCCGAGACCAACUCACUGUCACACGUAAACACGGAGCGAGGAGGCGGGUCACUCGGAACAGCUCGGCGCGACGUGGAAGCCGAGGCCGCAGACGAAACCGAAGCCAAAGUCGUCUGUGCUGUGAUUGUGGCGACUUUAGGAUGGUGACAUAGUGAUCUCUCUCCGUGGCCUGGACGGUCUUGCUGCCAAACCAAGUCCUGGGCUUUAGAGCGAAGAGGGAGACAGCAAAGACGGCGAAAAGUCAUCUGCUUCCGCCUUUCUGCAAGGCCCGUGGACAUCUGCUGUGGACUUCGCUGGCCUGUCGUCUGCUGGAGCCACAUAUCCUUUUCCAAGAAUGGACUGCUUAUUUUUUCACGAGAUUUUUUAAUGAUUAUCGUCGUGAAAAUGACAGAAUGUCGCGGAUCAGGCGUCUUGCUGAGGAGGUGAAUCUUUAUACGAAAGGACUUCUUAUUUUUGUCUGACAACACCAUGUUUCCUUCUGGACUUUAUGAUGCAGGGAAUCAGAGGUCCCUUGACAGAGCUGUACAUCCUCUGUGCCUCUGUCUCUGCCCCCGCCCCCACGCCUCGGUUGAUUCAGCCAGCGAGGGUCCUGCUUGUUACGAGUGUGGAGGACGAGGGUGACAGGGUAAUUGGGGAAAGAUCUUUCUCUCCCUCUCUCUUUCCUUGUGGUUUCAAAGGGCGGGAACACUGUAGACUUUCUCGCAAUGGUAUUUCCUCGUGUUGAUAUACCGCAGCUUCUCAUAUGAGUUUAGUUAUUUUUUUUUUUUUGACUCGCUUCGUAUGUCUUCCCAAGUUCGAUCGGGCGAGAGAGGCAUGCUAAUAAGGCCUUUUGUUCGAAGGCUGGCUAAUGGUACUGGGUUUUAGUGCGUUAUUCAACCGGUUAGAGCUACUCGAAUGGCCGAGACUUAAAAGACGAUUUUGAUUCUGUAUGUACUGGGAUCGUGUCGUCUUUCUUAUCCCCUUCCCAGUUGGUUCUUAAUCGAGGCCUUUUUAAGUUCAUUCCAAGAGGCUUGCCUACCUAAUAACGUCCGACUUACGGGCACCAUUACCAAUCAAAACAUACGAGCUUAUAACAGUUUCUCCUCUGUGUAGGGAGAGCAUUCAAAUGCACUCUCAAGUGUAUUCAAAUGCACUCUUUUCCACACUCCAUUUAACGAUGAAAAAUUCCUAAAACAACACAUAACCUGAGAAAAUUCUAGUCAAACCGGAAUGAUCUAGGACAAGACGCUCUGCGAUUUGUUUACGUGACUGAAAAAAUAAUAGAUAGUGCUGAAGGACGUGUCCGCGCUUCGACUGUUUUACAAUAACUUUGACUUAAGUGACGAGAGAAUUUACUUUAUAAUACAGCCACUGCUUGUGUUUCUUUUGUAGUCAUGAGUCGUACGGUACUCUAUAUUUAUGAUAGCUCGCUCUCACGUAGCGCACAAAAGCAAUAGUGCAAUUUUUGGAACAUAGAAUCCAAGAUUCUGAUUAACUAUCAUUUUUACCAUUGUUGACAGUAGCUUUAUUUUCUAAAUCUAUUUAUUGAUUGAUAUGGACUUAUUCUUAGUAGAGGACUAACGAUAGACGUUUUACCUAGUGCUGACAGAUUUAUUUAUUUUGCUUAUAGUGCAUAGACGUGUUCAGACAUGUUAGAAAUAGAAGUACAAUUUUUCGAUAGGUUAUUCUGUAUGAUAUUUUACUCACUUAAAUCAGCAAGCAUUACAUAUACUACUUGAAGAGAUAAUUCGCUUCGGGUUAUGGUUGUUAUGAUAAAAUUUAGUGCUAGGAUAUUUUAUUUGUUUCUGUUUAGAACUUUCUCCCUGACGUUUAAUCAGUACAAAACGACUCUCCUAACGACUGUUGGGUGUGACCUCAUUACCGUGACUCACCAGCUCAUUAAGGACUGACUUCCGGUCGUUAAGCAAUUAGAAAUCCAGGGAUAAUUAACCUAAUAAACAGCAACAUUGCUGACGACUGUUAUAUAGGUGACAGCCUGAUGCGGUUUAACAUUAGACUGACUGCGACAUUUUAUUACUGAUAUAGAUAAGAUAAUUUUCCUACUUUGAGACUUAAUGGUGACAAAUAGCAACACACAUCAGUGUUAGUGACGUUUUUUCGUAUGACAUGACUGACUUCGUUACAGGACUUGGCACCAGUUUUUCUCAAAAAGCUUUUUAUUUGACAAUUUCGGGAACGAUAUAACUAUUUAUGACAUCACAUUAUAACUUGAUAAUGACUGACAAAACUCGAUAUUAAGAGUGAUAAUAUCGUUACGGUUAUGAUAGUAACAAACUUGGAGAGGACUUGAUAACGACACUUUACGAGACAGUGACCUGACGGUGACAAUCUCUCUUGCUUCUUAUAACUGACAUUUCGACUUAAGCCACUUUAUGGCGACAGCUGACGUGGGUCGAUAGUAACACUUUUUGAAUAUCGUCAAAAAGAUAUUCUGACGAAAGACCCGACACUUUGAUAACAAGAGCCUCGCAAAUCUCUUGACAGUGACAAUGAAAGAAGGAUUGAAAACGACGUUUGACAGUGACAUUUUAGCAAGGCCUAAAAUACGUUAGAAUAUGACAUUUCACCAGACUUGACAACCCGAAUUUUCUUUCGACAGACAAAAACGACAGAUUAGAGAAGAACUUUGUGACUUUCAUGGUAACAUACUAACAUAUUCAACUGCGACACACCCAUCACGAGAAAGCUAUCUGCCCCAAAUUGCUCCAUCAGCGUCUCAGACGAACUCUCUAACCAGUGACUUCUAGUGGUAAUGUUGAUGAUGAUGACGAAGAUAGCGAGCAAAUUACAGACGAUAAUUACAUAAUUCAUUUUCAGCUAGUGGCGAUUCUUCACUAGAUAUUUGAUAAUUAGGACGGCCUCGUAACGGACCCAUUGACGGUGACAAAUAGCUCUCGCGUUCAUGACUGACAACCCAAUUUCAGACUGAAUGUUGACAAUUAUACAGUGACAACGCGUCUUCAUUUCUGGUAAUGACUUUACCCCUCAUAGGUUUAAUGACCGUGAUAACUCCUUACGAACGGACAAGACUGUAACUGUACUGAACUGUAACUUUCCUAAAUCAUGACAUGAUGUUUUGAUAUGAAUGAUAAGGUGACUAGUGACUAACUGUCUUCAUUUUAGUAACGUCUCAUCAAACAUUACUCAUGGACAGUUAAUCAUCAUCAUCCCAAAAUAAUAAUAAAAAUAAAAUAGGUAAACAGACGAAACACGAUAAGACCAUCGUAAUUGUACUAAUAUGUCAAAAUACCAUCACAUAUAUGAGACGGCAGUUCGAUGUUCGAUUUGUAGAGAAAAAGGGCUAUUAAGCACUCUUGCUAGUAAAUUAUCCAUUUUUUAAAAGCGACUGACCGGCGAUAACAUUCUUAAAUAAAUAACGUUCAUUCGACAGACAGUUGAAACAAAACUCAAUUUUUUGAAGACUCACCAUCAGAUCAGAUAAAAUUUGACAGUGACAGACAAUUUGACACCUGGCAGUGAAUUUGACAAAUGACAACACGGUCAUGUAAACUUAUUUGGCUUAUAUAUAUAUAUAUAUAUAUAUAUAUAUAUAUAUAUAUAUAUAUAUUUGUGUGUGUGUGUGUGCUUUAUCUAUUCAUUUAUGUAAUGACUGGACAAGUAAUUGCCAACCAACAGGCUGGUAAUAGUUCCAUUCAGCUUCGUGAUAGUGACAAAAGGCUGGACCAUCAGACUACUAACUGUGACGUCUUUUCUUACAGUGUCACGACAGACCUGAUAAUGAUAUUUUGUUAAUAUACUUAGUAGUAACUGAUUCUAAAGAUACGUUUAGACUAUUACUAGUGACACUUACUUAAGACCUGCUUACUGAGACUCUUAAACUAGUGAUGUUUGCAAAUCACUUACUAUUAAACUACCAAUUAUGACAAAAACGUAUGGACUUACAGUUCACCACCAGCUAGACAGAUAAUCUACAACACGCCUAGUAAGAGCUUGCAGCACUUUAAUUCAAAUACUUCUCACCCUUUUCAGUGAGUAUUCAUUCGAAGGGGUUAGGUAGGGUUGAAUUAGAGGACUUCUAGAUGUGCAAAUAUUAAUGCCAGGCUUGUUUUAUUAACUACGAAGGGUAAAAAAUGAGUGUUAUUAAUGACGAUUUACUCAAACUAUGAAACUGACUUCAUAGUGGCAGUAGUAUUUGACUUUUAUAGUGACACUUGACUAUAUGACUAUACAGUGACAGAAGGAUACGGUGACUAUUUGACUUUAGGGUAAAAAUUACUGACACUGAUUUACAAUCGCCACUUGAUUACUUACAGGGACUCUGCAACCAGACUGCUGUGACAGUCAUUAUGACAAAUAUUUAUAGACGAAAUCUUAACUUAUCAUAAUGACGAUAAUUUUCAAAUAACGAACUGGGAAAAGGUGACAAUAGGGCACUGGCAGACAAGUGACAGUUUCAUUUUUUUAGCGACACUGGGACUUCAUCUCUUGACAGGUGACAACCAACGACUGCCUGGUACUUGACAUGACCAAAGUUGCUUCACACUGACCUAACAAGUCACUGCCACGACUCAUUCACUAAGAUCUCAGGGAACUUGGCAACUACAAUUACCAUGACGACCGUUAAUUACCUUAAUCUCUAACUAAUGUGAUCACUAAUUGCCAUGAUCAUUAUUACCAUUAUAACUAUACAAGACUUGACUGCCCCACUGACACUCCCGACUUGAACACUUGUUACCUGGUUUGACACCUCACUUAACAGCCUACUUGAAACAUGACUUUUUUUUUUUUUUUUUUUUUGGUUGUUCAGCAACUUGACUGCUUGUUAUUUUGACCAACUAAAACUCGACAGCUUACCAGCUAGACUAUCUAGGACUUGACAGCUUACUCAUUCAACCACCACUAAUUUGACAAUCUUUGAUUUGGCAACUUGCUAAUUCGACCGUUUAAGACAUGACAGCUUACCAGUUGGACUACCUACGAAUUGACAGCUUACUAGUUAGACCAUCUAAGAUUGACAGCUUAUUGAUUUGACCACCUAUAUUUUGACAGCUUACUAGUUCGACCAUCUAGGACUUGACAGCUUACUGAUUGAACCAUCUACAUCUUGACGGCUCACUAGUCCGACCAUCUAAGGCCUGACAGCUUACUAGUUCGACUAUCUAAGACUUGACAGCUUACUGAUUGAACCAUCUACAUCUUGACAGCUUACUAGUCCGACCAUCUAAGACUUGACAGCUUAUUGAUUUGACCAUCUAUAUCUUGACAGCUUACUUGUCCGACGAUCUAAGACUUGACAGCUUAGGUAGUUCGAUCAUCUAUGAUCGAACUUACUAAAUUGACCAUCUAGGACAGCUCACUAGUUCAACCAUCUAAGACUUGACAGCUUACUAACUUGACCAUCUGGGACUUGACCGCUUAUUAAUUUGACCACCCAUAACUUGACUGCUUACUAUUUCGAGAUCUGGGAUUUGACAGCUUACUAGUUCAACCAUCUAAGACUUGACAGCUCACUAAUGAAUUUGACCACCUAGACCUUGACAGCUUACUAGUUCGCCCAUCUAAGACUUGUUAGCUUACUAGUUCGAGUACCUAAGACUUGACACCUUACUAACUGAAGACUUGUCAGUUUACUAGUUCACCCAUCUAUGAUUUGACAGCUUACUAAGUUGACCAUCUAGGACUUGACAGCUCAUUAGUACAAUCAUCUAAGACUUGACAGCUCACUAGUUCAAUCAUCUAAGACUUGACAGUUCACUAGUUCAAUCAUCUAAGACUUGACAGCUAUGUUGACCAUCUAGGACAUGACAGGUCACUCGUUCAAUCAUCUAAGACUUGACAGCUAACUAUUUCAAUCAGCUAAGACUUGACAGCUCACUAGUUCAAUCAUCUAAGACUUGACAGCUCACUAGUUCAAUCAUCUAAGACUUGACAGUUCACUAGUUCAAUCAUCUAAGACUUGACAGCUCACUAGUUCAGUCAUCUAAGACUUGACAGCUUUCUAAGUUGACCAUCUAGGACUUGACAGCUCACUAGUUCAAUCAUCUAAGACUUGACAGCUCACUAGUUCAAUCAUCUAAGACUUGACAGCUCACUAGUUCAAUCAUCUAAGACUUGACAGCUCACUAGUUCAGUCAUCUAAGACUUGACAGCUUUCUAAGUUGACCAUCUAGGACUUGACAGCUCACUAGGUUCAAUCAUCUAAGACUUGACAGCUUACUAAGUUGACCAUCUAGGACUUGACAGCUCACUAGUUCAAUCAUUUAAGACUCGACAGCCCACUAGUUCAAUCAUCUAAGACUUGACAGCGCACUAGUUCAAUCAUCUAAGACUUGACAGCUCACUAGUUCAAUCAUCUAAGACUUGACAGCUCACUAGUUCAAUCAUCUAAGACUUGACAGCUCACUAGUUCAAUCAUCUAAGACUUGACAGCUCACUCGUUCAAUCAUCUAAGACUUGACAGCUCACUAGUUCAAUAAUCUAAGACUUGACAGCUAUGUUGACCAUCUAGGACUUAACAGCUCACUAGUUCAAUCAUCUAAGACUUACUAAGUUGACCAUCUAGGACUUGACAGCUCACUAGUUCAAUCAUCUAAGACUUGACAGCUUACUAAGUUGACCAUCUAGGACUUGACAGCUCACUCGUUCAAUCAUCUAAGACUUGACAGCUCACUAGUUCAAUCAUCUGAGACUUGACAGCUCACUAGUUCAAUCAUCUAAGACUUGACAGCUCACUAGUUCAAUCAUCUAAGACUUGACAGCUUACUAAGUUGACCAUCUAGGACUUGACAGCUCACUAGUUCAAUCAUCUAAGACUUGACAACUUACUAAGUUGACCAUCUAGGACUUGACAGCUCACUAGUUCAAUCAUCUAAGACUCGACAGCUCACUAGUUCAAUCAUCUAAGACUUGACAGCUAUGUUGACCAUCUAGGACUUGACAGCUCACUAGUUCAAUAAUCAAAGACUUGACAACUCAUUAGUUCAAUCAUCUAAGACUUGACAGCUCACUCAUUCAAUCAUCUAAGACUUGACAGCUUACUAAGUUGACCAUCUAGGACUUGACAGCUCACUAGUUCAAUCAUCUAAGACUUGACAGCUCACUAGUUCAAUCAUCUAAGACUUGACAGCUCACUCGUUCAAUCUUCUAAGACUUGACAGUUUACUCAGUUGGCCAUCUAGGACUUGACAGCUCACUCGUUCAAUCAUCUAAGACUUGACAGCUUACUAAGUUGACCAUCUGGGACUUGACAACUUACUAAGUUGACCAUCUAGGACUUGACAGCUUACUAAGUUGACCAUCUAGGACUUGACAGCUUACUAAGUUGACCAUCUAGGACUUGAGAGCUUACUAAGUUGACCAACUAGGACUUGACAGCUUACUAAUUUAACCAACUAGGACUUGAAAGCUUACUAAUUUAACCAUCUAGGACUUGACAGCUUACUAAGUUGACCAUCUAGGACCUGACAGCUUACUAAUUGGCCAUCUAGGACUUGACAGCUUACUAAGUUGACCAUCUAUGACUUGACAGCUUACUAAGUUCACCACCUAGGACUUGACUGCUUACUAAGUUGACCUUCUAGGACUUGACUACUUACUAAGUUGACCAUCUAGGACUUGACAGCUUACUCAGUUGACCAACUAGGACUUCACAGGUUACUAAGUUGACCAACUAGGACUUGACAGCUUACUAAGUUGACCAUCUAGGACUUGACAGCUUACUAAGUUGACCAACUAGGACUUGACAGCUUACUAAAUUGACCAUCUAGGACUUGACACCUUAUUAAGUUGACCAUCUAGGACUUGAGAGCUUACUAAGUUGACCAUCUAGGACUUGACAUCUUACAAAGUUGACCAUCUAGGACUUGACAGCUUACUAAGUUGACCAUCUAGGACUUGACAGCUUACUAAGUUGACAAUCUAGGACUUGGCAGCUUACUAAGUUGAACAAACUAGGACUUCACAGGUUACUAAGUUGACCAACUAGGACUUGACAGCUUACUAAGUUGACCAUCUAGGACUUAACAGCUUACUAAGUUGACCAUCUAGGACUUGACAGCUUACUAAGUUGACCAUCUAGGACUUGACAGCUUACUAAGUUGACCAACGAGGACUUGACAGCUUACUAAGUUGACCAACUAGGACUUCACAGGUUACUGAGUGGACCAACUAGGACUUGACAGCUUACUAAGUUAACCAUCUAGGACUUGACAGCUUACUAAGUUGACCAUCUAGGACUUGACAGCUUACUAAGUUGACCAUCUAGGACUUGACAGCUUACUAAGUUGACCAUCUAGGACUUGACAGCUUACUAAGUUGACCAUCUAGGACUUGACAGCUUACUAAGUUGACCAUCUAGGACUUGACAGCUUACUAAGUUGACCAUCUAGGACUUGACAGCUUACUAAGUUGACUAUCUAGGACCUGACAGCUUACUUAGUUGACCAUCUAGGACUUGACAGCUUACUAAGUUGACCAUCUAGGACCUGACAGCUUACUAAGUUGACCAUCUAGGACUUGACAGCUUACUAAGUUGACCAUCUAGGACUUGACAGCUUACUUAGUUGACCAUCUAGGACUUGACAGCUUACUAAGUUGACCAUCUAGGACUUGACAGCUUACUAAGUUGACCAUCUAGGACUUGACAGCUUACUAAGUUGACCAUCUAGGACUUGACAGCUUACUAAGUUGACUAUCUAGGACCUGACAGCUUACUUAGUUGACCAUCUAGGACUUGACAGCUUACUAAGUUGACCAUCUAGGACCUGACAGCUUACUAAGUUGACCAUCUAGGACUUGACAGCUUACUAAGUUGACCAUCUAGGACUUGACAGCUUACUAAGUUGACCAUCUAGGACCUGACAGCUUACUAAGUUGACCAUCUAGCACCUGAGAGCUUACUAAUUUGACCAACUAGGACUUCACAGGUUACUAGUUCCACCGGCUCGGACUAGAUAGAUUACUAGUUCCACCAUCUAGGACUUGACAGCCCACAGACACGACCUACUGAUCACUAACAACCACCAAGACACGACCUACUGAUCACUAACAACCACCAAGACUUGACCGACGUCAAUUUACACCGCAAGACACCUCGGGACCAGUGAAGCAAUGGCAACAUGACAAACUAAUGUCACUUCAUCACGUGAAAGGUUUACGGUUGACAAAGAACAAGUUGGCAGAGAACAUUUUGACUGUUGAAAUCUCAUACUUUGACAGCUUGACAGUUGACAAAUAAUUUUAAGUUCGAUUCUUGGCUACUUUUUUUUUUUUUUUUUUUGUUACAGCUUGACUUUGACAGCUUAUACUUACAUGCUGCUGACUAAUGUAGUGGUAACUUGAUAUUUGAGAGCUCAUGACAAGGCAUCUUGACAAUAGAUAUUGUGACAAUAUGACAUAUUCACAGCUGAUUGGGGCAUCUUCAUUGUUGACAACUCUUGUCAUGACAGCUCAACUUUUGAAACUCAUUUGCUGUUGACAACCUGACUGCUUCUGGCUCAUUUUGACUGUAGACUACCCAUCCCGUGGCAACAUAACUGUUGAUAACUCUGACAACUCAUGACAACUUGACUGUUGAAAUAAUGUAACGAUAAGAGUUUUCAACAUGACAACUCAAGCCGUCACAGUUAGUCAAUUGAAAAGCUUACCGUGAUGGUCGGUGGUUAUUAAAACUCUUAUUGUGAUAAUUUGACGGUUGACAACUCUUGACAACUUGACUUGAAAUUCUUACUGUGACAAUUUGACUGUUGACAACUACACUGUUGAUAACCUGACCGCUGACAUUUCAUGACAAUUUGGUUGUUAAAACUAUAAUGCGACAAUUUGACAGUUGACAGCUGAUGUAACUUGACAGUUGAAGUUUUGUGACAAUUUGACUUUAACUGACUGUUGAGACCCUUACUGUAAAUUGACAGUUAGCAACUCACUGCAAUUUGACUGUUUAGCUAAAUAGUUUACUGCAAAUAUUGUGAUAAUUAGACAGUUGACAAGUAACCCUACGACAGCUUAAAUGUUAAGAACGGAACUCAUUUAAGACAACUCAUGGAAAAUCAAUUGUUGAACCCAAUGUGACAACCUGACUGCUGACAUCCAAUGACAACUUGACUACUGAAACCCUUCUGUGAUAAUUUGACUGUUGAUAACUCACGACAAAAGUAUGAAACUUACUGUGAACGGACUCUUGACAACUCUUACUGUGAAUUGACUCUUGACAAUUUACUGUGACCUGACUCUUGACAACUCUUACUGUGAAUUGACUCUUGACAAUUUACUGUGAACUGACUCUUGACAACUCUUACUGUGACCUGACUCUUUACAACUCUUACUGUGAAUUGACUCUUGACAAUUAACUGUAAAAAGUGAUACCUAACAGCUUACCGUUGAAAACCUGACACUUUACUACUCAUUUUGAUUGGUUGUUGGCAGAUCAUGCUGUGACAGACUGACUCUUGACAGCUUAUCCUAAUGAACCUUACUGUUUACUGUUUAUGACAAUUUGACUGUUGACAACUCAUAUCAUGACAACCUGACUAUUGACACUAGUAUUGUGAUAAUUUGACUGUGAAAACUACAAUAAGACUACUUGACUGUUGACAAUUCAUACUGUGACAUCUUGACAGUUGACAGAUCACAAUAAGACUGCUGUUGACAGUUUAAGCUUGACUGCCAACAAUUCACACUAUGCCAGUAUGGACAUUGAAACUCACAAUAAGACAAUUUGACUAAUGACAACUGUUGUGACUUGAAUGCUGACAUGUUAAAAGCAACCUGAUUUUGACAGCUCAUAAUAUGACAACUUGACUGGGCAUGUUAAAAAAUAACUGCUGACAUCUGCUGUGACAACUUGACUACUGACAUGUUAAAAAUGACUGGGAACAACUGCUGUGACAACCUGACUAAUGACAUGUUAAAAAUGACUUUUGACAACUGCUUUGACAACUUGAUUGCUGACAUGUUAAAUAAUUACUACUGACAACUGUGGCAGCUUGACAACUGACAUAUUUAAAAAUAUCUGACUUUUGACAACUACCCCGACUACUUAAUCGUUGACAAGAUGCUUCCUCACUGUUGACAUAUGCUCCGACAACCUUACUUUGACAACUACGACUAUGAAAAUUUAUCAUUACUAAUAACAAGGCAAUAAUCCACUUACGCAGUGGAUUAUGUGGCUAAUUUAACUGCUGUGAUUUUUUAACUAUUCAGUGUACUAUCGUCUUAACUGUCAUGACUUAUUGACCGUGCAUACACUACCAAUCCUUGACAACCCACUUAACUAUCAUGACCUACUGACUAUUCAGUAUACCACUAACGUAACUGUCACGACCUUUUGACUAUUCAGUAUACUGUAUUACCAACUCAACUGCCAUGACAUAUUGACUGUUGAGUGUACUACCAACCUAACUGGCAUGAUCUUUUGACCAUUCAGUAUCCUACCACAUGCUGACAGUUGAGGUACUACCCAGCUUUACUGUUAAUUUCCACGACCAACUAACUUAGUUUUUACAAUCGACUAGUCUAACGCCACCUAACAACAUCCAGACCACUAACCUUUCGACCAACCGACUGUUCCAUUUUUCGACCACCAUGACACUCAUAUACCAUCUCCUUGACGACUCAUUUUUGAGCAGAUUAUCAUUCAGAACGACCAAUCAUCUUUCGUUCCGAUUACACCCUCUCUCGCAGAGGUAGAAAAAAGACAUGCAAAGACGACAGCCUGACUUUAAUUAAUAGGUAUUACUGUGUAAAGACACCUGCUGGAAUUAUCGUGUCGCCUUAAAAAUGCCUAGACAUAUUAUUGACCAUAUCACAGCAUUUCUUUUCAUUUACCAUUAGCAAGGACACUCCCCUACCUGUCUACCAAAAAUAUUUUCCCCUUAGAAUUUCCCCCGAGAGUGACUUAAAUGUUUGCAGUAAUCAACAGCAACUGUCAGCAUUAUGAAUAAGUUAUGAAUAACGACCUUCCACUAACAGAUUGCAGGCUUUGACGGACAUGACUAACCACAUGGGACGACUACCAACGACAGAGUAAGUACUGACAACGACCCCCUCAUACGACUUCGUUUCGCACUUCAUAAUUCACGACAAAUGACCCCCUUUCCUGAAUGCAUGACACUCAAGACUCUUCGUCAUUACUAACUCAUGACUUACAAUAAUCGACUUGGGACCAAUAUCUAUUAAUCAACUCAUAUUCCAUCUGUUGGCUAACUCAUGACGAAUAUGUUCAUCCACUAAUGACGAAUUUCUGUUAGUUAACUCAUGUUGAAUCUGUUAAUUAACUCAUGACGAAUCUGUUUAUUAACUCAUGACGUAUCUGCCUAUUAACUCAUGACGAAUCUUCAUCAAUAUACUAAAUAAUAUCUCUACUAAACCCUAUGCACGACUCAAGUCAAGACUUUGAAACAUUUUAGUGGAUUUUGGAUUAGUUAUCCAUCAAUGACACCAAAGAAAACGAGAUUUCCGUUUUCAGUGCAAGACUAGACCAGAACUUAACAUAAUGUCUAGCUUUAAUCUAGCGACCAGACCAGAAUUUAAUGACACUAUUGAAGCUGCUAAAAUGACAAUUAACAUUUUCACUCACGCUGAAUGACCAAUGAUUUUUUUUUUUUAAUGUCACUAACACUAACUAAUUGUAACCAAUAGACAACAGCUUUUUGCAUACCACAGCAUCUAGAUUUUGAUAUCUGUUUUGUGCUUUUGUGAAUUACUUGAAUAAUUCCUCAACGGCCAAUAACAAUAAUAUAAAACGACUUCUUCCAUAACGACUAGCGACUCUGUGACCAUUAUUACUGAAAAAAAUGCAACCUCAUACAGACUUUAACCGACAGACGCAUUACGAGAACGAUGACCCUUGACUUUGAUAACGUGACUUCCACAACGACCGCGACCAUUAUCAAAGGUCAUAUCUCCGCAUAGUCACGUAUUUACGACAAAACGACCUGUCUGGUCUCCCCUUACGAGACCCAUGACCACCAUUUUGGAGACAAAAUAAAACAUUGCAGUAAUGAGAAGACAGAUUUUAUUCAUGGCUAGACUUGAGGAUUCGCACAUGACCUGCAUAUUUAGACGAAUUCUGACGCCGGUUUGUGUGACGACCUUUGACCUUGACCUUGUGUUCUCUGACGGAGGUGGCGACUUUUCUUCUCGGACGAGAUAAUUGCAAGUACUGAGGCAUUAUGUGUAUGUAUAUAUAUAUAUUAUGUAUGUAUGUAUGUAUAUGUAUAUAUAUAUGUAUAUAUACAUAUGCUUGUGCACUGACUUUAAUGACUUAUGCGCAGUUCCUAGACAAAAAUGCAAAGCAUCAUUUAAAACUCAGCCUACUCUCAUACCUUGUUAAAUAUGCAUUAUAUAUAAAUGCAUAUGUUUGUGUGUGUAUGCAUGUAUAUGUAUGUAGGCAUGUAUAUGUAAAUAUAUGUAUAUAUGUAUAUGUAAGUGCAUAUAUAUAAACAUAAAUACAUGUACAUACACACGUAUACACACUCCUAGUUGUCACUGGUAAAGAGCAGGCUGAGCUCUAAUAAAUGUAUGUGCUUAAACGCUAAAUAUUCUUCCAUACUUUAAGAUGUUAGAGCUGUACAGCUGACCUGUCUGGAACCAAAACUUUCACAUUUUCGCCAGUUCUGUUUUCUUAUUAUGUAUCGUUUUCAUUUGUUAACCAUCUGUGUAAGUAGGUAAUUUGAUCACAUUUGAUUUGAUAUCAAAAGUGAUGGACACAUUCCCACCAUAACAGAUAAACAAAUAUUGUUAGUGAUUAAAUAUUACUCCCCACUCCCCACCGCUGCCUAGGGUAAUCGUGAUGACAUUUAUAGAUGUGAUCAUAUUUACAUAUUUAUUUAUUCAUAGAAAUGAUAUUGGACAAGUUGAACCUCAUGUUUAUGAAGUGUUGAAGGCUAGAUGUUCCAAUGGCGGAUGAGAGGAAACACAAAACUUCCUUUCAUGGAUAAAAACCCACCGUGUUACUUACUCUUUGAUCUCAGCUGUGUACGUUUAUUUGUUUUUAAUAUAUUUAUUGAAUUUGUAUAUGCAAAGACUGAUAAAAAGGGAAGGUUUAUCGGUGAAUCAGAGAUGAGUUAAGAGGACGCAGCCCGCGAUGUAAUGGAGGAAAAAAGUAAUUGAAUUUAGGUGUCGUUCCACCCUGAUUUCCCGUCGAUUCUCCGUUGCGUCGUUGAGGAGGUUUGCGCAAACAUCCGUGAUGUGAAUGUAAAUGUAACGAAUAUAUUUUCCAUAAAUUUU